GCUGGGCGUGGUGGUGGGCGCCUGUAAUCCCAGCUACUCAGGAGGCUGAGGCAGGAGAAUUGCUUGAACCCGGGAGGCAGAGGUUGCAGUGAGCCGAGAUCACGCCACUGCACUCCAGCCUGGGCGACAGAGCAAGACUCUGUCUCAA
rnacentral:SRP_RNA from 1 species